CCCGCAGUUGCUGGCGGAGCAGGGCCGGGAUGAGGAGGCUGCGCUCGUCCUGAAGCGAGCCCUGCAGCUGGAGCCGGCCAGCAAGGCGGUGCACGCCGAGCUCUCCCUGCUAGUGAAGCGCCGAGCCGGGCGGCUGCCGCCCCCUGCCCCGGAGGAGGCUCAUAACGACCCGCCGCGGCCGCGGAGCCCCGGACCCUCGGCAGCGCCCGCGGCGGAAGGACUGGCCUGAGCAGCCCCGCGGCCCCGAGCCCCCGGGGAACGCCGCGCUGUGGAAAGGGAGAGGCUGCGGAGCUGUCAGGGCCCCGGGCCACAGCGGGCACCAGGCGCUGCGUCGACGAAUAUGCCCCACCGCCCGCACUGUGCCCUGCACUGCACCCCCACAUCACCCUGCACUGCCCCUCUGCACGCAUUGCACCCCUGCACCAUCCUGCACUGCACCCCACAGACAACCUCCUCACUACCCUGCACUGCCGCUCUGCAUCACACUGCUCUGCUGUACUGCUCCCUUGCACCACUCCACACUGCCCUGGACUAGCCGCCUGCACCGCACUGCACCCUGCACUGCUUCCUCUACACUAUUCCCUCCCACACUGCACUCCACACUCUUCAUCGCACCACCCCGACCCGCCCCACGCCACACCUGACACUGCACCCCGGCACUACACACUGCUCCACCCCUGUGCUGCAUCCCCCACUGCACCCCGCCCCUGCACUGCAAUUCACGCUGCGACCUCCCCUCAUACUGCACCCCAACACUGCGCCCCGCCCCCACGCUGCACCUCAACACUGCGCCCCGCCCCUGCACUGCAGUUCACGCUGCACCCCGCCCCCACACU